AACGGCCGUACCAUGCUGAAUAUACCGGUUCUCGUUAGAUCACCGAAGUCAACCAUCAUUGGGCGCGGUCAGUACUUGGGUGGGUGACCACCUGGGAACACCGCGUGCCGUU
rnacentral:rRNA from 1 species